rnacentral:rRNA from 1 species
UACGUAGGGUGCAGGCGUUAAUCGGAAUUACUGGGCGUAAAGCGUGCGCAGGCGGUUUCUUAAGUCAGAUGUGAAAGCCCCGGGCUUAACCUGGGAACUGCGUUUGAAACUGGGAGACUUGAGUGUGGGCAGAGGGGGGUGGGAUUCCACGUGGUAGCAGUGAAAUGCGUAGAUAAUGGUGGAGGAACACCGAUGGCGAAGGCGGCCCCCUGGGUUAACACUGACGCUCAUGCACGAAAGCGUGGGGAGCAAACAGG